rnacentral:misc_RNA from 1 species
GUGAAUCAUCAAAUUUUUGAACGCAAAUUGCACUCUCUUCUACGCCUGAGAGUAUUUCUGUUUGAGGGUAAGAAUAAAUAAAAAGCGGUGUGUUUGCUGCCUCUCGUGGUGACGCACCGGAUGUGGUUCGUCUUUCCGUCUGUAAAGUGACAUAAAAUUUUGCAUGAUUUUUUCGAACGUAUUUAAAUGAUUUUACGUACGGUUUCGAUAUCUAAUACUAGAUUUGGGCAUCCUCAUGAUUCGCUCCUAUAAUUUCUCUUCAAAAUGACCUCAAAUCAGGUAUGAGUACACG